rnacentral:rRNA from 1 species
CAACCUGCCGAUAACUCCGGGAUAGCCUUUCGAAAGAAAGAUUAAUACCGGAUAGCAUACGAAUAUCGCAUGAUAUUUUUAUUAAAGAAUUUCGGUUAUCGAUGGGGAUGCGUUCCAUUAGUUUGUUGGCGGGGUAACGGCCCACCAAGACAACGAUGGAUAGGGGUUCUGAGAGGAAGGUCCCCCACAUUGGAACUGAGACACGGUCCAAACUCCUACGGGAGGCAGCAGUGAGGAAUAUUGGUCAAUGGACGCGAGUCUGAACCAGCCAAGUAGCGUGAAGGAUGACUGCCCUAUGGGUUGUAAACUUCUUUUAUAUGGGAAUAAAGUUGUCCACGUGUGGAUUUUUGUAUGCACCAUAUGAAUAAGGAUCGGCUAACUCCGUGCCAGCAGCCGCGGUAAUACGGAGGAUCUGAGCGUUAUCCGGAUUUAUUGGGUUUAAAGGGAGCGUAGGCGGAUUGUUAAGUCAGUUGUGAAAGUUUGCGGCUCAACCGUAAAAUUGCAGUUGAUACUGGCAGUCUUGAGUGCAGUAGAGGUGGGCGGAAUUCGUGGUGUAGCGGUGAAAUGCUUAGAUAUCACGAAGAACUCCGAUUG